rnacentral:rRNA from 1 species
CUACGGGGGGCACCAGUGAGGAAUAUUGCACAAUGGGGGGAACCCUGAUGCAGCAACGCCGCGUGGAGGAUGACGCAUUUCGGUGUGUAAACUCCUUUUAUAUGUCAAGAAAAUGACGGUAGCAUAUGAAUAAGCACCGGCUAACUCCGUGCCAGCAGUCGCGGUAAUACGGAGGGUGCAAGCGUUACUCGGAAUCACUGGGCGUAAAGGACGCGUAGGCGGGUUGGAAAGUCAGGUGUGAAAUCCUACAGCUUAACUGUAGAACUGCACUUGAAACUUCUAAUCUAGAGUAUGGGAGGGGGAGAUGGAAUUAGUGGUGUAGGGGUAAAAUCCGUAGAUAUCACUAGGAAUACCUAAAGCGAAGGCGAUCUCCUGGAACAUUACUGACGCUAAGGCGUGAAAGCGUGGGGAGCAAACAGGAUUAGAUACCCCCGUAAUC